rnacentral:rRNA from 1 species
UACGGAGGGGGCUAGCGUUGUUCGGAUUUACUGGGCGUAAAGGGCGCGUAGGCGGCGCAACAAGUCACUUGUGAAAUCUCCGGGCUUAACCCGGAGCGGCCAAGUGAUACUGUCGUGCUAGAGUGCGGAAGGGGCUACUGGAAUUCUCGGUGUAGCGGUGAAAUGCGUAGAUAUCGAGAGGAACACCUGCGGCGAAGGCGGGUAGCUGGGCCGACACUGACGCUGAGGCGCGAAAGCGUGGGUAGCAAACAGG